AUGUGAGGGUGAUGAGGCUGUGAUAAUAUCUGUCAUCACUGUCCUCCCCACCCCACACCUCAUUGAUCACCAGCAUUGAUUUGGAUGAUCUGGCUGGCUAGACAGAUAUCUCUACCAUUCCCCACCACUGGAUGUGUGUCUCUCCUGAAAGCUUCGUACUUGGUUAAAGGGCACAGCCCUCUUUGGUAGAAAAUAGCAAGGACAUACUAAUAGCUUCAUUCCUCUUGGUGAACCUGCAAACAAACUCCCAGAGACAAUGGGCUUUUCUUUCCAGUGCCAAAGGCAUGUGACUCCUUCCAUAUAAAUCAUGUUCAAAAGCUACAUGGCUCUGUUU
rnacentral:snRNA from 1 species